UGACCAGGGCUUGUCCUUGGCAGAAAAAAUACAAGUAGAAACAAGCAAGUAAAUGGCCUGGCAUGAGGCACUCUUGUUGAUCUAUUGCUUAGUUCUUUUUAGACUUUAUUCCUUGUUCCUGAGAUGUUUACAGACUGAGUUCCUAGUUGGCCCUUGGUGACUGAAUUUUCUUUUGCUGAACCCCAGACACUGUCAGAAGUAGAUGCCAAUUGCUAUAAGGCAGGGGUCAGCAAACUACGGCCCAUGAGACGGAUCUGUACUGCCAUCUGUUUUUACAAAUGAAGAUUUGUUGGAACACAGCCAUGCCCAUUUGUUUAUGUAUCAUACAGGGCUACUUUUUCACUAUAGCAGCAAAGUUUUGAGAACUCUGCUGCUUUGGCUACAUCACUGCUUUUUAAAGAAGGGAGAUCAUUUCUAAAUCAAGCUCCUCAGAACUACAGCAUUGUGUUUGUUCCAGGUCCCAUUUGGAUCCUUUCAUCUGCCAGAAGCUUCUAGAACAUUCAUGCCACAAGGGAAACUCUUGCUUUAGAAGUAAGGAAAUAUGUCUAUCUCUAAGUUACUUUACUUGAGGAUUCAAAAACAACAACAACAACAACAACAACAAAAGAUAAUCAUUUAAAUGCAAACAUCAAGUGUAUCAAGUUUUCUAGUUUCUACAAAAUUUUAACACAGUUGCAGAUUUCAAUUCAUAUUAUGUGUAUAUAUGUUUUAAAUAAUUAAUUUUUUUCUUCCAGGUAAUGGUCUAAACUCAUGAUGGUUUCUAGAAGAAUAACAUGAUUAUUUUAUCUUAUAAAUACUUAGUGAGUACAGUGUUUUAUGCAUUAUCUCAAAGUACUACCUUAAACUUUAUUUAGUAAAUCUAGUACCUUAAAUUCCUUUGAUUCAUCACCUGGUCUACAUAAUUCAAGGUUCCUCAGAGAACUAAUUGAAGCUAUUUUCCCAUUUGUAGCUGAAACAAGUAUUUUUUCAGUGCAACCCCAUUUCAUAAUAAAAUGUUUUCUGGCAAAUUCUCUUCUAGUAUAUAAUUGUGAUAGUCCUAAAGGCACUUUUAAUUUUGUUAGCAUCAAAUUGUUCAUGCCACUAGGUGUAAAACUCAUAAAAUAAAGAUGAAAUUCCCAAACAACAUGAAAAUUUGGAUCUCUUUAUUUAUAUUGCUGUAUUUUGUCUGUUUAAUCUUUUAUAUAGUUGCUUUUUGCUUCAAGGGGAAAAAUGGACACUGACACCAAGGAGAUUUUGAA